UACAGAGGGGGCAAGCGUUAUUCGGAAUUACUGGGCGUAAAGGGCGCGUAGGCGGAUAGUUUAGUCAGAGGUGAAAGCCCAGGGCUCAACCCUGGAAUUGCCUUUGAUACUGGCUAUCUUGAGUAUGGGAGAGGUUAGCGGAACUCCGAGUGUAGAGGUGAAAUUCGUAGAUAUUCGGAAGAACACCAGUGGCGAAGGCGGCUAACUGGCCCAUUACUGACGCUGAGGCUCGAAAGCGUGGGGAGCAAACAGG
rnacentral:rRNA from 1 species